UGGAAAAAGAGAGAGAAGAAGAAGAGAGGAUUGAAGAAGAGAAAGAACCAUCUGGAUCCUCAUCACCACCAAUUUCUUCAUUACGUUCUUUUCCUUCGUCUCCUUCUCCAAU
rnacentral:ribozyme from 13 species